UCCCCUUGAAGGGUCGUUCGAGACCAGGACGUUGAUAGGUCAGGUGUGUAAGCGCAGUAAUGCGUUCAGCUAACUGAUACUAAUUGCCCGUAAGGCUUGAUCCUA
rnacentral:rRNA from 1 species